UGCCUAAACCUCGCUUUGCGGGGCAUGGCAAUAAAACCUUGUCAGGAAAAAGCUCCUCGUCUGGAGCACCUGACAAGGUCAUAUCCCGAAAGGGGUAUGGGUAGCGAAAGCUAUC
rnacentral:sRNA from 12 species